UACAGAGGGUGCGAGCGUUGUCCGGAUUUAUUGGGCGUAAAGAGCGUGUAGGCGGCCAGGUAGGUCAGCUGUGAAAACUCGAGGCUCAACCUCGAGACGCCGGUUGAAACCAUCUGGCUAGAGUCCGGAAGAGGAGAGUGGAAUUCCUGGUGUAGCGGUGAAAUGCGCAGAUAUCAGGAAGAACACCCGUGGCGAAGGCGGUUCUCUGGGACGGUACUGACGCUGAGACGCGAAAGCGUGGGGAGCGAACAGG
rnacentral:rRNA from 1 species